AACGAACGCUGGCGGCAUGCCUAACACAUGCAAGUCGAACGAGACCUUCGGUUCUGGUGGCGCACGGGUGCGAAAGGGGUGGGAACCUGCCCUUAGGUUCGGAAUAACUCCCCGAAAGGGGUGCUAAUCCCGGGCAAUGUCUUCGGACCAAAGGUUUCUAGCCUUGGGGUGGGCCCGCGUUGGCUUCGCUCGUUGGUAGGGUAAAAGCCUACCAAGGCGUCGAUCCGUGGCUGGUCUGAGAGGGGGAUAAGCCACACUGGGACUGAGACACGGCCCAGACUCCUACGGGAGGCAGGAGUGGGGAAUAUUGGACAAUGGGCGAAAGCCUGACACAGCAAUGCCGCGUGAGUGAGGCAGGCCUUAGGGUUGUAAAGCUCGUUUACCCGGGAUGAUACUGACAGUACCGAGAGAAUAAGCACCGGCUAACUCCGUG
rnacentral:rRNA from 1 species